rnacentral:rRNA from 1 species
GACGAACGCUGGCGGCGUGCUUAACACAUGCAAGUCGAACGGUAAGGCCCUUCGGGGUACACGAGUGGCGAACGGGUGAGUAACACGUGGGUGAUCUGCCCUGCACUUCGGGAUAAGCCUGGGAAACUGGGUCUAAUACCGGAUAGGACCACUGCCUGCAUGGGUGGUGGUGGAAAGCUUUUGCGGUGUGGGAUGGGCCCGCGGCCUAGCAGCUUGUUGGUGGGGUGAUGGCCUACCAAGGCGACGACGGGUAGCCGGCCUGAGAGGGUGACCGGCCACACUGGGACUGAGAUACGGCCCAGACUCCUACGGGAGGCAGCAGUGGGGAAUAUUGCACAAUGGGCGCAAGCCUGAUGCAGCGACGCCGCGUGAGGGAUGACGGCCUUCGGGUUGUAAGCCUCUUUCAGCACCGACGAAGCGCAAGUGACGGUAGGUGCAGAAGAAGGACCGGCCAACUACGUGCCAGCCGCCGCCGUAAUAC